rnacentral:lncRNA from 1 species
GUAGGGCAGGAGGGAAUUGUCCACAACAAGAACAGAAAGUGAAACCCAGGGAAAAAUUUACUCAUUGAAGAGAAGAGGAAACUGUGGUAAUUUGAAUGCAUUUGGCCCCAUGAUCUCUUAGGGAGUGGCACUAUUAGGACGUGUGGUUUUGUUGGAGUAGGUAUGGCCUUGUUGGAGGAAAUGUGUCACUGGCUUUGAGGUUUCCUAUGCUCAGGAUACUGCCCAGUGAGUCAGUUGACUUCCUGUUGCCUCUGAGUCAAGAUGUAGGACUCUCAGCGCUCCAUGUCUACCAUCCUCACCACGAUGAUAAUGGACUGAACCUCUGAAACUGGUCCAUAAAUCUUGUGAUGUGAGCUCAUGGACUUUAAGCAGCCUCAAGAACUUUGAAGAAUGAAAUAUUUAGCAAGGAGACAAGUGACUGCUGUUAUGGAAACGGAUAUUACCCACCCAGCAGUGGUGUGUUCUAAGUGCUUGACAUUCCAAUCUUAAAACCCAAGAAGUGGGUCUGUGAGGUGGCUCCACAGGUGGAGAUGCAUUGCAGGCCUGGAGACCUAGGCUGGAUGGAUUCUCGUGACCCAGCUGUUUUACAGACACCUGGGAAUGAGUGCUGUUACUGUAUCAGUGAGUCUGGCCUGGCGGAAACUAAUAUCAAGUCGCUCUGCAAAUUGUCUGAAGACUUCACCAAUAUGACCAGGGCAUCUCUCGGUUCCAUCUUCCUGGCAAUCUUCACUGUUCCCAAGGCUAGUCCCACUCAUAGAGCUUGUGGGUACUCAAAGGCUUCAUCCAUAUCCAAACUUCGGCAUCUCCUGAGGUCCUGCAUUCUCGGCGGCUCCCAGGGCGGCUCAGCAGGAAGCUGGGCAUGGCCUUGUGCUACCAGGCAGAGCCUGUACCUCGUCAGAGACAGAACAAAGGCAGUUUGGAUUUGGGAUUCACACCGUGAGCAAGUCACACAUUCAUUAUCUAUUCCUCCUGACGGACAUUGAAGGGAAUUCUGGAACCUAGCUGUUGCGAACAGUACUGAGAUGCACUGACAUUUUCUCCUGCUUUAACCAAAAGAACACAGAUUGGCUUCUUUCCCAGCACUGGACUAAGCUUAAGGCAAAUGACAGACCAGAGAGACCAACAAUAUCCCAGUGACAUCUGUUCUUUUAGCUCUGAUUCUUAUUCUGUGGGUCAAUAAACACCAAUAUACUCUAAUUUUGUCUAAAUUA